CCUACGGGGGGCAGCAGUGGGGAAUAUUGGACAAUGGGCGAAAGCCUGAUCCAGCCAUGCCGCGUGUGUGAAGAAGGCCUUCGGGUUGUAAAGCACUUUCAGUGGGGAAGAAAGCCUUGGGGCUAAUACCCUCGAGGAAGGACAUCACCCACAGAAGAAGCACCGGCUAACUCCGUGCCAGCAGCCGCGGUAAUACGGAGGGUGCGAGCGUUAAUCGGAAUUACUGGGCGUAAAGCGCGCGUAGGCGGUCUGAUAAGCCGGUUGUGAAAGCCCCGGGCUCAACCUGGGAACGGCAUCCGGAACUGUCAGGCUAGAGUGCAGGAGAGGAAGGUAGAAUUCCCGGUGUAGCGGUGAAAUGCGUAGAGAUCGGGAGGAAUACCAGUGGCGAAGGCGGCCUUCUGGACUGACACUGACGCUGAGGUGCGAAAGCGUGGGUAGCAAACAGGAUUAGAUACCCUGGUAUC
rnacentral:rRNA from 1 species